AUUGAACGCUGGCGACAUGCCUUACACAUGCAAGUCGAACGGCAGCACGGGUGCUUGCACCUGGUGGCGAGUGGCGAACGGGUGAGUAAUACAUCGGAACAUGUCCUGUAGUGGGGGAUAGCCCGGCGAAAGCCGAAUUAAUACCGCAUACGAUCUACGGAUGAAAGCGGGGGACCUUCGGGCCUCGCGCUAUAGGGUUGGCCGAUGGCUGAUUAGCUAGUUGGUGGGGUAAAGGCCUACCAAGGCGACGAUCAGUAGCUGGUCUGAGAGGACGACCAGUCACACUGGGACUGAGACACGGCCCAGACUCCUACGGGAGGCAGCAGUGGGGAAUUUUGGACAAUGGGCGAAAGCCUGAUCCAGCAAUGCCGCGUGUGUGAAGAAGGCCUUCGGGUUGUAAAGCACUUUUGUCCGGAAAGAAAUCCUUGGCCCUAAUACGGUCGGGGGAUGACGGUACCGGAAGAAUAAGCACCGGCUAACUACGUG
rnacentral:rRNA from 1 species